UGGUAGUGUAUUGGACUACCAUGGCAGUCACGGGUAACGGGGAAUUAGGGUUCGAUUCCGGAGAGGGAGCCUGAGAAAUGGCUACCACUUCUAAGGAAGGCAGCAGGCGCGUAAAUUACCCAAUCCUGAUUCAGGGAGGUAGUGACAAGAAAUAACAACUCGGUACCCUCACGGGUAUGCGGGAUUGAAAUGAGAACAAUUUAAACCACUUAUCCAGUAACAAUUGGAGGGCAAGUCUGGUGCCAGCAGCCGCGGUAAUUCCAGCUCCAAUAGCGUAUAUUAAAGUUGUUGCAGUUAAAAAGCUCGUAGUUGAAUUUCUGGUCAGUCUUGCACUGCGCAUCUCGCCGGGGCAAGGUUUGAUCAUCCGUAGGGGAAGCCAGUUCGUACUUCACUGUACGGCUGGGGGAACCUACAAUUUACUGUGAAAAAAUUAGAGUGUUCCAGGCAGGCAAUCGCUUGAAUACUCCAGCAUGGAAUAAUGGAAUAAGACUUCUGUCGAUUUGUUGGUUUGAGAUAGAAGUAAUGAUUAAUAGGGACAGUUGGGGGCAUUCGUAUUUAAUUGUCAGAGGUGAAAUUCUUGGAUUUAUUAAAGACGAACUUAUGCGAAAGCAUUUGCCAAGGAUGUUUUCAUUAAUCAAGAACGAAAGUUAGGGGAUCAAAGACGAUCAGA
rnacentral:rRNA from 1 species